rnacentral:rRNA from 1 species
UACAGCGGUCUCAAGCGUUGUUCGGAUUCAUUGGGCGUAAAGGGUGUGUAGGUGGCGCGCUAAGUCGGGUGUGAAAUUUCGGAGCUUAACUCCGAAACUGCAUUCGAUACUGGCGUGCUUGAGGACUGGAGAGGAGGCUGGAAUUCAUGGUGUAGCAGUGAAAUGCGUAGAGAUCAUGAGGAAGACCAGUGGCGAAGGCGGGUCUCUGGACAGUUCCUGACACUGAGACACGAAGGCCAGGGGAGCAAACGGG